AACAGAGAGAAGCAAUACCGCGAGGUGGAGCAAAACUUCAAAAAUGGUCUCAGUUCGGACUGUAGGCUGCAACUCGCCUACACGAAGUUGGAAUUGCUAGUAAUCGUGGAUCAGCAUGCCACGGUGAAUACGUUCCCGGGUCUUGUACACACCGCCCGUCACACCAUGGGAGCUGGUAACACCCGAAGUCAGUAGUCUAACCGCAAGGAGGACGCUGCCGAAGGUGGGAUUAGCGACUGGGGUGAAGUCGUAACAAGGUACC
rnacentral:rRNA from 1 species